rnacentral:rRNA from 1 species
CAUGGGCGCAGCCUGAUGCAGCGACGCCGCGUGAGGGAUGGAGGCCUUCCGGUUGUAAACCUCUUUUAUCGGGGAGCAAGCGAGAGUGAGUUUACCCGUUGAAUAAGCACCGGCUAACUACGUGCCAGCAGCCGCGGUAAUACGUAGGUGGCAAGCGUUGUCCGGAUUUACUGGGCGUAAAGGGAGCGUAGGCGGACUUUUAAGUGAGAUGUGAAAUACCCGGGCUCAACUUGGGUGCUGCAUUUCAAACUGGAAGUCUAGAGUGCAGGAGAGGAGAAUGGAAUUCCUAGUGUAGCGGUGAAAUGCGUAGAGAUUAGGAAGAACACCAGUGGCGAAGGCGAUUCUCUGGACUGUAACUGACGCUGAGGCUCGAAAGCGUGGGGAGCAAACAGGAUUAGAUACCCUGGUAGUCCAAGGGCGAAUUC